rnacentral:tRNA from 1 species
GUUAAAGAGGCUUAUUGGUAAAGCAACUGAUUGGUUCCCAGGAGAUUAUGAGUUCAAAUCUCAUCAUUAACU